CUCGCCAAGGGGCGCUGCGACCGUGGAUAGGCACGGCCAGGCUUGGCGGAACUUUUCUGUAACGGCGCCCGGUCAAG
rnacentral:ncRNA from 2 species